AGAGUUUGAUCAUGGCUCAGGAUGAACGCUAGCGGCAGGCCUAAUACAUGCAAGUCGAGGGGUAAGGUCUCUUUCGGGAGACACACGACCGGCGCACGGGUGCGUAACGCGUAUGCAACCUACCUUUAACAGAAGGAUAGCCCCGAGAAAUCGGGAUUAAUACUUCAUACCACUGUUAGAUGGCAUCAUUUUACAGUGAAAGCUCCGGCGGUUAGAGAUGGGCAUGCGUGACAUUAGCUAGUUGGUGAGGUAAGGGCUCACCAAGGCGACGAUGUCUAGGGGAUCUGAGAGGAUAAUCCCCCACACUGGUACUGAGACACGGACCAGACUCCUACGGGAGGCAGCAGUAAGGAAUAUUGCGCAAUGGAGGAAACUCUGACGCAGCCAUGCCGCGUGCAGGAAGAAGGCCUUAUGGGUCGUAAACUGCUUUUAUAAAGGGAUAAACCCACUCUCGUGAGGGUGGGGAAGG
rnacentral:rRNA from 1 species